rnacentral:rRNA from 1 species
GAUGAACGCUGGCGGCGUGCCUAAUACAUGCAAGUCGAGCGAACAGACGGGGAGCUUGCUCCUCUGCCGUUAGCGGCUGACGGAUGAGUAACACGUGGAUAACCUACCUAUAAUACUGGGAUAACUUCGGGAAACCGGAGCUAAUACCGGAUCAUAUAUUCAACCGCAUGGUUCAAUAGUGAAAGACGGUUUUGCUGUCACUUAUAGAUGGAUCCGCGCCGCAUUAGCUAGUUGGUAAGGUAACGGCUUACCAAGGCAACGAUGCGUAGCCGACCUGAGAGGGUGAUCGGCCACACUGGAACUGAGACACGGUCCAGACUCCUACGGGAGGCAGCAGUAGGGAAUAUUGGGCAAUGGGCGCAAGCUUGACGGAGCCAUGCCGCGUGAGUGAUGAAGGUCUUCGGGUCGUAAAACCCUUUUAUUGGGGAAGAACAACAGCGGAAGUAAAUCUGGCUGUCUUGACGGUACCUAAACAGAAAGCAACGGCUAACUACGUG